GAUCAUGGCUCAGGACGAACGCUGGCGGCGUGCUUAACACAUGCAAGUCGUACGAGACGAUUGAAAGCUUGCUUUUGAAAGUCGAGUGGCAAACGGGUGAGUAACGCGUAGACAACCUGCCGUAAAGAUGGGGACAACAGUCCGAAAGGACUGCUAAUACCGAAUGUUGUAGAGCUUCCGCAUGGAAGUUCUACUAAAGAUGGCCUCUACUUGUGAGCUAUCGCUUUACGAUGGGU
rnacentral:rRNA from 1 species